UGAUUAGUGGCGGACGGGUGAGUAACAUUUAGGAAUCUGCCUAGUAGUGGGGAUAGCUCGGGGAAACUCGAAUUAAUACCGCAUACGACCUACGGGUGAAAGGGGGCGCAAGCUCUUGCUAUUAGAUGAGCCUAAAUCAGAUUAGCUAGUUGGUGGGGUAAAGGCCCACCGAGGCGACGAUCUGUAACUGGUCUGAGAGGAUGAUCAGUCACACCGGAACUGAGACACGGUCCGG
rnacentral:rRNA from 1 species